rnacentral:rRNA from 1 species
UCCAGACUCCUACGGGAGGCAGCAGUGGGGAAUAUUGGGCAAUGGGCGCAAGCCUGACCCAGCAACGCCGCGUGAAGGAAGAAGGCUUUCGGGUUGUAAACUUCUUUUAAGGGGGAAGAGCAGAAGACGGUACCCCUUGAGUAAGCCACGGCUAACUACGUGCCAGCAGCCGCGGUAAUACGUAGGUGGCAAGCGUUGUCCGGAUUUACUGGGUGUAAAGGGCGUGCAGCCGGGCCGACAAGUCAGAUGUGAAAUCCGCGGGCUUAACCCGCGAACUGCAUUUGAAACUAUUGGUCUUGAGUACCGGAGAGGUCAUCGGAAUUCCUUGUGUAGCGGUGAAAUGCGUAGAUAUAAGGAAGAACACCAGUGGCGAAGGCGGAUGACUGGACGGCAACUGACGGUGAGGCGCGAAAGCGCGGGGAGCAAACAGGAUUAGAUACCCGGGUAC